AGCGGCGGAUGGGUGAGUAACACGUGGGGGAACCUGCCCCAUAGUCUGGGAUACCACUUGGAAAACAGGUGCUAAUACCGGAUAAUAAAGCAGAUCGCAUGAUCAGCUUAUAAAAGGCGGCGUAAGCUGUCGCUAUGGGAUGGCCCCGCCGGUGCAUUAGCUAGUUGGUAAGGUAACGGCUUACCAAGGCAAAUGAUGCAUAGCCGAGUUGAGAGACUGAACGGCCACAUUGGAACUGAGACACGGUCCAUUACUCC
rnacentral:rRNA from 1 species